UGGGGAAUCUUGCGCAAUGGGCGGAAGCCUGACGCAGCAACGCCGCGUGAGGGAAGACGGCCUUCGGGUUGUAAACCUCUUUCAGGGGGACGAAGCCUCCGGGGUUAAUAGCCCACGGGGUGACGGUACCCCCAGAAGAAGCCCCGGCUAACUACGUGCCAGCAGCCGCGGUAAUACGUAGGGGGCGAGCGUUGUCCGGAAUCAUUGGGCGUAAAGCGCGUGUAGGCGGCUUGGUAAGUCCGGUGUGAAACCUUGGGGCUCAACCCCAAGCCUGCACUGGAUACUGCCUCGCUUGAGUCCGGGAGGGGAGAGCGGAAUUCCUAGUGUAGCGGUGAAAUGCGCAGAUAUUAGGAAGAACACCGGUGGCGAAGGCGGCUCUCUGGAACGGUACUGACGCUGAGACGCGAAAGCGUGGGGAGCGAACAGGAUUAGAUACCCUGGUAGUCCACGCCGUAAACGAUGGGCACUAGAUGUGGGCGGUGUCGACUCCGCCCGUGUCGCAGCUAACGCAUUAAGUGCCCCG
rnacentral:rRNA from 1 species